CACAGAGACACUGGCAGGUCUGAACAACACGGACCCAUUCACAUCUGUUACUUUUCCUGAGUCAAGCUUUGCAGAUACCAGUAAAAGUUUGAAAUGCCCACUCUGAUAAGAAGCUCUCCAGCUGAAACUCAGAAGGGAUAGAGUAUAUUCUUCUGGCAACUGCAUGGAGUGCCAUUCUGCCUCAAG
rnacentral:lncRNA from 12 species